rnacentral:rRNA from 1 species
AGUGAACGCUGGCGGUAGGCCUAACACAUGCAAGUCGAACGGCAGCACAGUAAGAGCUUGCUCUUACGUGUGGCGAGUGGCGGACGGGUGAGUAAUACAUCGGAAUCUACUUUUUCGUGGGGGAUAACGUAGGGAAACUUACGCUAAUACCGCAUACGACCUACUGGUGAAAGCAGGGGAUCUUCUGACCUUGCGCUAUUGAAUGAGCCUAUGUCGGAUUAGCUAGUUGGCGGGGUAAAGGCCCACCAAGGCGACGAUCCGUAGCUGGUCUGAGAGGAUGAUCAGCCACACUGGAACUGAGACACGGUCCAGACUCUUACGGGAGGAAGCAGUGGGGAAUAUUGGACAAUGGGCGAAAGACUGAUCCAGCCAUACCGCGUGGGUGAAGAAGGCCUUCGGGUUGUAAAGUCCUUUUGUUGGGAAAGAAAAGCAGCAGGUUAAUACCCCGCUGUUCUGACGGUACCCAAAGAAUAAGCACCGGCUAACUUCGUG